ensembl:lncRNA
AUGAAACUAAGAUUUACAAUUUACAUUUGUGUUUAUAUGUUUUUUUCGAAAGGUUUUUCGAGUUUAAGGGUACAAAAUGAAACAAAAAAAAAUGAAAUCACUAAUGGAGAAAAUAAACAAAGAAAAGUAAGAAAAAAUAAUUACAGUUCUUUAAAAAAAAAAAUGAAAUUAGAAAAUGAAAACGUUUCGAAUACAAAUAAAAGCUCUUUACAUGAUAAAAAGACAGCUAUUAGUAGUAUAGACGAAUUAAAUAAAGUGUUAGUCGCAGAUGAAGAACAUAUAAACAGUGAGUAUAAAAGAUGUAUAGAUGUCGUAGAAAAAGAAUUAAGUGAUGAAAAGAAUAAUGAUGAUAUUAAAAAAAUAAAAGAAGAAAUGGAAAAGUUAUGUUUAUUAAAAAAAAAACAAGAUGAAAAAGAAGAAAUAAAAAAAAAAAAUAAAGAAGAAAUCAAAAUAAUGAAAGCAGAAAUAGAGAAAGAAAGUAGUAUAUUUACAGAUAAAGAAAAAAAAGAAAAAGAAAUUAUAUCACGUUUAGGAUUAUCAAAUAAAAUUCUCACAUUACCUGAAACUUUAAAUGAUUUAUUAUCAGAAGUCAAAAAUUGUGAAAGAGAUUAUACAGAAAAAUGUCCAAUGAAUUGGAAAAUAAAUGAAAAUGAUAAUACAUAUUGCAAUGCACCUGAUUCUUAUGUAGGGUCAUGUGAAAAACAAAUAAAAAAUAAGAUCGAUAUAAGUGAAAAAAUACAAAUUGAAAAAAAGUGUUUCAUAUUUUGGCCAUGUAACAAAAAUUGUAUUCAAGAUUUUGAAAACUCUAAGUGUCCCAUAGAUUGGAUUUUAACAGAAGAUAAUUUUUGUAUAGCUCCCCAGGAGUAUAUAGGAAGUUGUUUAAAAAAAAUAAAUUUUAUAAAAAUGAAUAACAAAGAAAAAGCUAUAUAUUCUAAUUUAUGCAAUGUUCGAUGGCCUUGCAAAGAAACAUGUAAACGUGAUUACUCAGUUUUAUGCCCAGAGGGCUGGAUUGCAGGAAGUAAUGGAUAUUGUUUAGCAACAAAUGCGUAUGAAGGUAUCUGUGAAAAAAGGAUGUAUUUAAAAGAUACAGAUAAAACGUUGAAACAAAUGUAUGAACAAAAAUGUCAAUUCAAUUACCCUUGUAUAAAUUCAUGUGAAAAAAAUUAUGAUGACUUGUGUCCUAAUUUGUGGUUUCUCAUUAAUGAUAAUGAAUGUGCACCAAAUGAAAGUUAUACUGGAAAUUGUAAAGAAAAUUAUAUUUUAAAAAAUAAAACUAUCGAAGAAAAAAAACUGUUUGAAGAAAUGUGUGAUGUAUCUUAUCCCUGCUUACAAACAUGUAAAAGAGAUUAUUCAUAUAAUUGCCCAAUAGGAUGGAAAGAAACGUUAAGCUAUUGUUUAGCACCACCAUCUUAUAAACACAUAUGUAAAAAAAUUAUGAGAACAAAUAUGACUGAAAAAGAAAAAUUAGAAAUAAGUACAAAUUGUCAUGUCUUCUGGCCUUGUUCCAAUUAUGAAAUUCUUUUAAAAAAAUUAAUUUAUAAUACUUUAACAGAAGAGGAUUAUAUGUAUAUCGUCAAUGGACCGGUUGAUAAUGCAACCGGGUCGGUAAUUCAUGUAUAA